GUUGCCAGCCAGCCUGGAGCCCCUGGGCUCAGGACAUCCUCCUGUUCAGCCUCCUGAGUGGCUGGGACCCCAGGAGCCCGUGGGCCACCAUGCCUGGCAAGCCACCACCGUAAAGAUCUCGCUCUGGAAUUCCUGCUCAGACCACCCCAAGCGUGCUUCCAAGGUCCUCAGAGCCACCUCCUGGGGCAGACUGUACCCUUGAACCCAGGGAUGGUCAAGGGCAGCUCUUCUGGCGACGUCACUCAAGCAAACCUGCCCAGGGCAAGACAGAGAUCAAACAGGUGCGAAGUCCCCGAUCCUACACUUGCCCUGGAGAGAGACCAACAGACAGGACCAGCUCUCUGCCCAUCCUCACGACGUCCUUUCUUCCUUAGGGACACGCAGGCUGUGAUCAGUGUCCCCUUGCAGAGACUUGGUAGCCCCUAGUGACCGGUUCCCCACAGGAGGAGCCUGAGGCCACGGCUCCCGUGGGCAGAGCGGGAUCCCGGGGUGAGGCCGGGCGGGCAGAGGAAGGUGGCCCCCGCAGGUGUUCCCUGGGCUCGCUGGGACUUGGACUCACCAUCGUCCAGCGUCCGCUCCAGGAUGGGGGGGUGGCUGGGGCUGCCGUCCCCGAUGCGCGUGAAGGCCAGCACCUGCACCUCGUACAGCACGUACUUGCCCAGGCCCGUGAGCUGGGCGCUGCGGGACGCGUUGCCCUCCACCAGCCAGGACCGGGGCUGGGAGUCCGAGUCCUUCUCCUUGUACAUCACCUGCCAGGGCCCGGCACAGGGAGGACCUCAGGAGGGGCUCGUGCCCAGGAGCAGGCCGUGUGGGGACGGGGCAGGCCGACUGGGGCACCUAGCGUGACGCAGGGGGCCCAGGGUGACGGCCAAGCUGUGCACCCAGAGGGCCGGGACACGGGGCUUGCGCGGCUGUAAAGCUGGACGGCCCCUGAGGAGCCUCGGGUGGGCACAGGGGCUGGGAGGGAGUGUGGCCUCCUCAGGCUCACGGGAGGAGGGGCACACGGAACAAGGAGUCUGCCAGGUCCCAGGUCAGGCUGGAGCAGCUGUCAGAAAACCCCAGAGGCCCUGGAAGGCUGCGGUUUGAGGUUGCUUUGUUCCCCGAGGGCCCAUGCAUGGGUGCUGGGUCCCUGCCUGAUGGGACCUUUGAGGGGUGCACCCUAGUGGGACCCUGACCUCAGGCAGGACUGAUGUAGUUCUCAUGUGACCCCUUGGGAGCUCCACAGGAGACUGUCACAGAGGCCCGAGCCUCGCCUUGCUCAGCCCUUCCCAGUUUCCUGUACCUAGAUGUGACCACGACAUGACCACCUUUCCAGCAAACUCCUGCUGUGGCCCUCUGCCACAAUGUGACAUAGCUGAGAGGGCCCUCACCAGAGCAGAGCCUAUGCAGACACCACGUCCUUGAGCCUCCCCAGCUGUGAGCUAAACAAACCUCUUUAUAAGCGAACCUGUCCCAGGUGCUUUGUUACAGUAACGAAAACCUGACUAAUACAAAGACAGAGCUGAGCAAGGCUGGGCCCCCUAGCGUGGCCUCUUGGAAGAAGGGGCACAGCCCUAAGGACCUGGCCCUGGCUGUUUCCCCACCCCUGAGGGCAGGAGACUCCUGCUGAUGGGAAGCCAGGCAGACCCCAUAUCCACUCUAGAAGGCAGAGGCCUUGAGAGUGAUGGAUGACAGGACACCUUGGGUGGAGAGGCUGGGUGCCCAGUGCAGGGACCCCACCCCCUCCUCUGGUCCUGACACUCACCUUGUAGCCCAGCACCAGCCCAUUGCGGUCUGCCUCGGGGACCUCGUUCCAGCGAACCAGCAUGCUGCUGGAGGUGGUGGCCAGCGCGGACACGUUGGUGGGGCCAGAGGACGGGACUGA